rnacentral:rRNA from 1 species
AGGUGGUGCAUGGUUGUCGUCAGCUCGUGUCGUGAGAUGUUGGGUUAAGUCCCGCAACGAGCGCAACCCUCGCCUCUAGUUGCCAGCAUUCGGUUGGGCACUCUAGAGGGACUGCCGGCGACAAGUCGGAGGAAGUGGGGAUGACGUCAAAUCAUCAUGCCCUUAUGACCUGGGCUACACACGUGCUACAAUGGGCGGUACAAAGGGCUGCGAACCCGCGAGGGGGAGCGAAUCCCAAAAAGCCGCCCUCAGUUCGGAUUGCAGGCUGCAACUCGCCUGCAUGAAGCCGGAAUCGCUAGUAAUCGCGGAUCAGCAUGCCCGCGGUCCGAAUACGUUCCGGGCCUU